GCAAAGAGAACAGUCCAUGACGGGUAACUGGAGUCUUUGACCAUGUUGGGGCCUUCCUCUGACACCGCCUAGUAUAACUGGACACUUGCGCUCGGAUCACACUGGCCUAGGAUGUCCAUGCACCGGAUGGUCUGAAGGAUGCACUACUGUUGGACUGGAAAACAAAGAGACAUUUGGUCAGUGGCUCGAUCUGCUGUAGUCUCUACAACUGGUCGCUUGCGCUCGGAUCACACUGGUACAGGAUGUCAUCACACUGGCACAGGAUGUCCAUGCACCGGAUGGUCUGAGGGAUGCACUGUCUGAAUCUUCCUCUUCUGCCUAAUAUGUGAUACAACAGCGCGGGAAUGAGAGGGCCCUGAUAGACCACUACCGAUGCAGCCUACGGGAGGACGUUCGUCGGGAGCUGGCCUGCAGGGACACCACUCUUAACCUGGACCAGCUGAUAGACUUAUCUAUCCGGCUGUAUAACCUGUUGGCCACACGCGGACGUCCGGAUCAGGGUCCGUCCAGUCCAUCCCCCAGCACUUCCGAACCUACACCCAUGGAGCUUGGAGGUGCUGAUGUAAGGGGGACCGGUAAGGGGACUGUUUCCUGCACCAACUGUGGCCGCAGAGGACACACUGCUGGUCGGUGCUGGAAAGGGUCCUCAGGGAGUCAAGGCAG